rnacentral:rRNA from 2 species
CAUUCACGGAGAGUUUGAUCCUGGCUCAGGACGAACGCUGGCGGCGUGCUUAACACAUGCAAGUCGAACGAUGAAGCCUUUCGGGGUGGAUUAGUGGCGAACGGGUGAGUAACACGUGGGCAAUCUGCCCUUCACUCUGGGACAAGCCCUGGAAACGGGGUCUAAUACCGGAUAACACUCUGUCCCGCAUGGGACGGGGUUAAAAGCUCCGGCGGUGAAGGAUGAGCCCGCGGCCUAUCAGCUUGUUGGUGGGGUAAUGGCCUACCAAGGCGACGACGGGUAGCCGGCCUGAGAGGGCGACCGGCCACACUGGGACUGAGACACGGCCCAGACUCCUACGGGAGGCAGCAGUGGGGAAUAUUGCACAAUGGGCGAAAGCCUGAUGCAGCGACGCCGCGUGAGGGAUGACGGCCU